rnacentral:rRNA from 1 species
AACGAGAAAGCUCCCUUCGGGGAGCCGGUACAGUGGCGCACGGGUGAGUAACACGUGGGUAAUCUGUCCUCGAGUGGGGAACAACCCAGGGAAACUUGGGCUAAUACCGCAUAACAUCCCGACCUCUCCGGAGGACGGGAUCAAAGCUGGGGAUCGCAAGACCUGGCGCUUGAGGAGGAGCCUGCGGCUGAUUAGCUUGUUGGUGGGGUAACGGCCUACCAAGGCGACGAUCAGUAGCCGGCCUGAGAGGGUGAUCGGCCACACUGGAACUGAGACACGGUCCAGACUCCUACGGGAGGCAGCAGUGAGGAAUUUUGCGCAAUGGGCGAAAGCCUGACGCAGCAAUGCCGCGUGGAUGAUGAAGGCCUCCGGGUCGUAAAAUCCUGUCAAGUGGGAAGAAACCCCCUCCGUUAAUAGCGGCAGGGGGGUGACUGUACCACUGGAGGAAGCCCCGGCUAACUCCGUGCCAGCAGCCGCGGUAAUACGGAGGGGGCAAGCGUUGUUCGGAAUUAUUGGGCGUAAAGGGCGCGUAGGCGGCCCUGCAAGUCGGUUGUGAAAUCCCUUGGCUCAACCAAGGAACUGCAACCGAAACUGCAGAGCUAGAGUCCGGGAGAGGGUAGUGGAAUUCCCAGUGUAGCGGUGAAAUGCGUAGAUAUUGGGAGGAACACCAGUGGCGAAGGCGGCUACCUGGACCGGUACUGACGCUGAGGCGCGAAAGCUAGGGGAGCAAACAGGAUUAGAU